GUUUAAAUUGUGUGUUCUUUUAGAAAAUAUAAUACAAACAUAUGAGAAAAAUACAAACAGGGCAAAAGGAAUACAGCAAAAAUUAUCUUCUUUCCAUCCCUGUCUUCCUACAAAAGUUCCCUUUGGUAGAGCUAACCACUGCUACCAGUUUCUACAGUAUCUUUCCAGAGAUACUACAGGUGAAAGUGUCUAUUUAUCUAUGUCCUGCAUAAAUGCAAGCAUAUAGGCAUCUUCUGCACCUUGCUGUUUAAAAAACACUUUUUAAAACACUACCCACUUAAAAUACUUUAAUAGAUCCUGGUUCUCUGCAAAAUAAAGCCCAAACUUUUUCUGGUAUGAAACAUCCUUUAUAACUCCCCAAAUGAGUAUCUCCUUCCAGUUCAGUGACCCCCCUCCUUCCUUCCAGCUUCUUCCUCUCCCUCCCACCCCACCCCAGGUUUCAACAGCAUAGAGCUCCAGGCCUGGGAGCCUCACUCCUGUUGGUCCUUUUGUCUGGAGACUCUUGCUUUUUCUUCUGUACCAUACUGUUUUGGUGACUAUAGCCUUAUAAUAUAAUUUGAAAUCAGGCAAUGUGAUGCCUCUAGAUAUGUUCUUUUUGCUUAGUCUUUUUUUUGGCUAUGUGGGCUCUUUUUUGGUUCCA
rnacentral:lncRNA from 1 species